AUUGAACGCUGGCGGCAGGCCUAACACAUGCAAGUCGAACGGUAACAGGAAGAAGCUUGCUUCUUUGCUGACGAGUGGCGGACGGGUGAGUAAUGUCUGGGAAACUGCCUGAUGGAGGGGGAUAACUACUGGAAACGGUAGCUAAUACCGCAUAACGUCGCAAGACCAAAGAGGGGGACCUUCGGGCCUCUUGCCAUCGGAUGUGCCCAGAUGGGAUUAGCUAGUAGGUGGGGUAACGGCUCACCUAGGCGACGAUCCCUAGCUGGUCUGAGAGGAUGACCAGCCACACUGGAACUGAGACACGGUCCAGACUCCUACGGGAGGCAGCAGUGGGGAAUAUUGCACAAUGGGCGCAAGCCUGAUGCAGCCAUGCCGCGUGUAUGAAGAAGGCCUUCGGGUUGUAAAGUACUUUCAGCGGGGAGGAAGGGAGUAAAGUUAAUACCUUUGCUCAUUGACGUUACCCGCAGAAGAAGCACCGGCUAACUCCGUGCCAGCAGCCGCGGUAAUACGGAGGGUGCAAGCGUUAAUCGGAAUUACUGGGCGUAAAGCGCACGCAGGCGGUUUGUUAAGUCAGAUGUGAAAUCCCCGGGCUCAACCUGGGAACUGCAUCUGAUACUGGCAAGCUUGAGUCUCGUAGAGGGGGGUAGAAUUCCAGGUGUAGCGGUGAAAUGCGUAGAGAUCUGGAGGAAUACCGGUGGCGAAGGCGGCCCCCUGGACGAAGACUGACGCUCAGGUGCGAAAGCGUGGGGGAGCAAACAGGAUUAGAUACCCUGGUAGUCCACGCCGUAAACGAUGUCGACUUGGAGGUUGUGCCCUUGAGGCGUGGCUUCCGGAGCUAACGCGUUAAGUCGACCGCCUGGGGAGUACGGCCGCAAGGUUAAAACUCAAAUGAAUUGACGGGGGCCCGCACAAGCGGUGGAGCAUGUGGUUUAAUUCGAUGCAACGCGAAGAACCUUACCUGGUCUUGACAUCCACGGAAGUUUUCAGAGAUGAGAAUGUGCCUUCGGGAACCGUGAGACAGGUGCUGCAUGGCUGUCGUCAGCUCGUGUUGUGAAAUGUUGGGUUAAGUCCCGCAACGAGCGCAACCCUUAUCCUUUGUUGCCAGCGGUCCGGCCGGGAACUCAAAGGAGACUGCCAGUGAUAAACUGGAGGAAGGUGGGGAUGACGUCAAGUCAUCAUGGCCCUUACGACCAGGGCUACACACGUGCUACAAUGGCGCAUACAAAGAGAAGCGACCUCGCGAGAGCAAGCGGACCUCAUAAAGUGCGUCGUAGUCCGGAUUGGAGUCUGCAACUCGACUCCAUGAAGUCGGAAUCGCUAGUAAUCGUGGAUCAGAAUGCCACGGUGAAUACGUUCCCGGGCCU
rnacentral:rRNA from 1 species